AGAAUGUCAGUGCCCGUCUGGUCAUUCGUGCCCGUAUGGAAGUGCCAAGCCUGUCAUCUGUGCCCCUGGCACCUAUCAGUCUUUGACUGGUCAGUCUACAUGCAAGACCUGCCCACCAGGUUUUUAUUGUGUGGAGGGAACCUCUGUCCCAACACCGUGCCCAGUUGGCAGUGUGAGUCAGGCUGAGGGGAGAGCAUCUCAGAGGGAGUGUUCUCCAUGCCCUCCUGGGCUCUACUGCAACAGCAGUGCUCUCACCUCCCCCUCAGGACCCUGCUCUCCAGGCCACUUCUGUUCCCGCGGAGCUACUGUCCCUGAUCCAGUCUCCCAGACCUUUGGGGAUGUCUGCCCUCUAGGACACUACUGCCCAGAAGGUAGUGGGUCGCCCAGGCCCUGUUCUGUGGGUAGCUAUCUUCCAGAGAGG